rnacentral:rRNA from 1 species
AUUGAACGCUGGCGGCAUGCCUUACACAUGCAAGUCGAACGGUAACGCGGGGCAACCUGGCGACGAGUGGCGAACGGGUGAGUAAUGCAUCGGAACGUGCCUGGUAGUGGGGGAUAACUGCUCGAAAGAGCAGCUAAUACCGCAUACGACCUGAGGGUGAAAGGGGGGGAUCGCAAGACCUCUCGCUAUCAGAGCGGCCGAUGUCGGAUUAGCUAGUUGGUGGGGUAAAGGCCCACCAAGGCAACGAUCCGUAGCUGGUCUGAGAGGACGACCAGCCACACUGGGACUGAGACACGGCCCAGACUCCUACGGGAGGCAGCAGUGGGGAAUUUUGGACAAUGGACGCAAGUCUGAUCCAGCCAUGCCGCGUGCGGGAAGAAGGCCUUCGGGUUGUAAACCGCUUUUGUCAGGGAAGAAAUCUUCUGGGCUAAUACCCUGGGAGGAUGACGGUACCUGAAGAAUAAGCACCGGCUAACUACGUGCCAGCCGCCGCAGUAACAC